CCCUUAGAUGUUCUGGGCCGCACGCGCGCUACACUGACUGACUCAACGAGUGUACAACCUGCUUCGACAGAAGUGGGUAAUCUUUUGAAAUUCAGUCGUGAUGGGGCUAGAUUAUUGCAACUAUUAAUCUUCAACGAGGAAUGCCUAGUAAACGCAAGUCAUCAGCUUGCAUUGAUUACGUCCCUGCCCUUUGUACACACCGCCCGUCGCACCUACCGAUUGAAUGGUCCGGUGAAAUCUCGGGACGGCGGCUUGGUCGCUUGCGUCCGACUGCUGAAACUUGAUUAAACCAUAUCAUUUAGAGGAAGGUGAANUCGUANCA
rnacentral:rRNA from 1 species